AAUUUCAUCUCUUUUCUCUAGACACAGAAGAUACAUUUUGUGUUUUAAAUUAAAUUGUUUUUUUUUAUUAUUAAUUAUACUGUUUAUAUCAAGGGUUACAUGAAAACCAAGUGACAAUCUUGGAAAAAGUUUGUCUAUAUACACAGACUCCUCCUGUGUUCCAGGCAGAAGCAGCUUGUGCUCCAGCAGUCUAAUAAUACUUCUCCUCACUGUACACAUACUGAUCAUAUAAAUAUUGUUUCUGGCAUGAGAUUGAAUGCACAGUCUGUGAUGUGAAUUGCUCUCAUUUUUGCUGCAGGGCCCACAAGGAUUUCAAGGCAACCCUGGAGAAGCCGGAGAGCCCGGAUCAUCCGUACGUAUCCAAAAACCUUCCUAAAAGACCUCAUUACUGAUGAUUACAGUCAGCCUCCCGGUGCGCAAAUGCCACUUCAUUUAGCCAGAAUCAUUCUAAUUGAAAUAAGCCUCUAGAUCUUGUAUGUAGGUCAGCGAGGUGCAUCCGGCUCACUGGACUCAAUUAUGUAUUUUUGUAAUACACACACCACAAAAUCAGCACUGAAUACACUUCAGCCUUGUUCUUACCAAGUGCAGUGUUUUCACUCAUAUCUCAGAUCAUUCACGUGUCCCAUACUCUCUAAUCUCAGAUUUCUGUUUUCUCUCGACAGGGCCCAAUGGGUCCUCGUGGUCCCCCGGGUCCCUCAGGAAAACCAGGAGAGGAUGGGGAAGCAGGCAAAGCUGGGAAAGCUGGGGAACGUGGACCUCCUGGGCCUCAGGUGAACCCUUUUAAAUGAAAACAGCGUUAAAGUGUUUGAUUCAUGUGAGAAGAGCAGCGAUGCAGUGACUGCUGCCCGCAGCGCUCAAGCUUUUACCCAGAUGUGAGACGCUGCUGUGGAUGCAGGCCAAAGAAAGAAGAGACGUCUGAAUACUUCCACUCACCUCAUACCUCUCUCUCUCUCUCUCUCAACACAGGGAGCUCGUGGAUUCCCAGGAACACCGGGUCUACCUGGAAUCAAGGGACACAGAGUUAGUGCAGUUUUUCAUCAUGUCAUCUUUUUGUGGUCAAUCUCUGACACUACAGAUGAAUAGGAUAAACAUUCUUAACUAUCGAUAGACUUCCCCUGGUGAUUAAUCACAGUACAUUAAGACUAGAAGUAUUACAAAACUACAUUUUCACCAGAUUUUUUGGAAAGAAAAAAUAGUCUACAUCAAAUGUAAUAUGUAACAAACCCUUUGGAAAAACCUUUAGAAUAUAGACAGGAAUAAAACUAUAAUUUUGGUGUAAGUGCUGCUGAAG
ensembl:lncRNA